GUUACAAUUACCAAUAAUCCCUACUAGGGAUUGAAAC
rnacentral:other from 1 species